rnacentral:rRNA from 1 species
UUCCGGUUGAUCCCGCCAGACCUGACUGCUAUCGGAUUGAUACUAAGCCAUGCGAGUCAUUGUAGCAAUACAAGGCAUACGGCUCAGUAACGCGUAGUCAACCUAACCUAUGGACGGGAAUAACCUCGGGAAACUGAGAAUAAUUCCCGAUAGAACAUUAUACCUGGAAUGGUUUAUGUUCCAAAUGAUUUAUCGCCGUAGGAUGGGACUGCGGCCUAUCAGUUUGUUGGUGAGGUAAUGGCCCACCAAGACUAUUACAGGUACGGGCUCUGAGAGGAGUAGCCCGGAGAUGGGUACUGAGACACGGACCCAGGCCCUAUGGGGCGCAGCAGGCGAGAAAACUUUGCAAUGUGCGAAAGCACGACAAGGUUAAUCCGAGUGAUUUGUGCUAAACGAAUCUUUUGUUAGUCCUAGAAACACUAACGAAUAAGGGGUGGGCAAGUUCUGGUGUCAGCCGCCGCGGUAAAACCAGCACCUCAAGUGGUCAGGAUGAUUAUUGGGCCUAAAGCAUCCGUAGCCGGCUCUGUAAGUUUUCGGUUAAAUCUGUACGCUCAACGUACAGGCUGCCGGGAAUACUGCAAAGCUAGGGAGUGGGAGAAGUAGACGGUACUCGGUAGGAAGUGGUAAAAUGCUUUGAUCUAUCGAUGACCACCUGUGGCGAAGGCGGUCUACUAGAACACGUCCGACGGUGAGGGAUGAAAGCUGGGGGAGCAAACCGGAUUAGAUACCCGGGUAGUCCCAGCUGUAAACUAUGCAAACUCAGUGAUGCAUUGGCUUGUGGCCAAUGCAGUGCUGCAGGGAAGCCGUUAAGUUUGCCGCCUGGGAAGUACGUGCGCAAGUAUGAAACUUAAAGGAAU